rnacentral:rRNA from 1 species
UGCUGGAGGUAUCAGAAGUGCGAAUGCUGACAUAAGUAACGAUAAAGCGGGUGAAAAGCCCGCUCGCCGGAAGACCAAGGGUUCCUGUCCAACGUUAAUCGGGGCAGGGUGAGUCGACCCCUAAGGCGAGGCCGAAAGGCGUAGUCGAUGGGAAACAGGUUAAUAUUCCUGUACUUGGUGUUACUGCGAAGGGGGGACGGAGAAGGCUAUGUUGGCCGGGCGACGGUUGUCCCGGUUUAAGCGUGUAGGCUGGUUUUCCAGGCAAAUCCGGAAAACCAAGGCUGAGGCGUGAUGACGAGGCACUACGGUGCUGAAGCUACAAAUGCCCUGCUUCCAGGAAAAGCCUCUAAGCAUCAGGUAACAUCAAAUCGUACCCCAAACCGACACAGGUGGUCAGGUAGAGAAUACCAAGGCGCUUGAGAGAACUCGGGUGAAGGAACUAGGCAAAAUGGUGCCGUAACUUCGGGAGAAGGCACGCUGAUAUGUAGGUGAAGCGACUUGCUCGUGGAGCUGAAAUCAGUCGAAGAUACCAGCUGGCUGCAACUGUUUAUUAAAAACACAGCACUGUGCAAACACGAAAGUGGACGUAUACGGUGUGACGCCUGCCCGGUGCCGGAAGGUUAAUUGAUGGGGUUAGCGGUAACGCGAAGCUCUUGAUCGAAGCCCCGGUAAACGGCGGCCGUAACUAUAACGGUCCUAAGGUAGCGAAAUUCCUUGUCGGGUAAGUUCCGACCUGCACGAAUGGCGUAAUGAUGGCCAGGCUGUCUCCACCCGAGACUCAGUGAAAUUGAACUCGCUGUGAAGAUGCAGUGUACCCGCGGCAAGACGGAAAGACCCCGUGAACCUUUACUAUAGCUUGACACUGAACAUUGAGCCUUGAUGUGUAGGAUAGGUGGGAGGCUUUGAAGUGUGGACGCCAGUCUGCAUGGAGCCGACCUUGAAAUACCACCCUUUAAUGUUUGAUGUUCUAACGUUGGCCCGUAAUCCGGGUUGCGGACAGUGUCUGGUGGGUAGUUUGACUGGGGCGGUCUCCUCCUAAAGAGUAACGGAGGAGCACGAAGGUUGGCUAAUCCUGGUCGGACAUCAGGAGGUUAGUGCAAUGGCAUAAGCCAGCUUGACUGCGAGCGUGACGGCGCGAGCAGGUGCGAAAGCAGGUCAUAGUGAUCCGGUGGUUCUGAAUGGAAGGGCCAUCGCUCAACGGAUAAAAGGUACUCCGGGGAUAACAGGCUGAUACCGCCCAAGAGUUCAUAUCGACGGCGGUGUUUGGCACCUCGAUGUCGGCUCAUCACAUCCUGGGGCUGAAGUAGGUCCCAAGGGUAUGGCUGUUCGCCAUUUAAAGUGGUACGCGAGCUGGGUUUAGAACGUCGUGAGACAGUUCGGUCCCUAUCUGCCGUGGGCGCUGGAGAACUGAGGGGGGCUGCUCCUAGUACGAGAGGACCGGAGUGGACGCAUCACUGGUGUUCGGGUUGUCAUGCCAAUGCACUGCCCGGUAGCUAAAUGCGGAAGAGAUAAGUGCUGAAAGCAUCUAAGCACGAAACUUGCCCCGAGAUGAGUUCU